AGGGUGAGGCGGGUGCUAGACCCUGGAUUGAAAACAGUUAUUUUAAGUCUGUUACAAUUUAAAGGUCUAGUAGUUGCAAUCUCACCCA
rnacentral:pre_miRNA from 1 species